AACUCUUGUUUUAUCUUCAGCAGCUUUCUACUCAUAAUGAAAAGGUACCUCAUAGAUUUUCCAUCAUCAUUUUUAUCAAAUUUAUCUGACGCCCAACAGUAAAACAAACAUUUGUCCCUCUGACAAUGUUAGUUCAACUGUACUCUCUUCAAAACAGCAGACAGUCACAGCUACAAACAACAAAAAUUACAUUUUCUGGUAAAUCAACAAAGACCACAUGUCCAUAAUGGUAAACUUCUCCCCUUGUUACACAGAGCUCUACUUCUUCUCCAGAUAGAGCCAACUAGAGGAUCAAUCGUGAGCUUGACAAAGCCAUAAAGCAUAUUUCAGGAUAGUGAUCAUAAAUUCGAGAAGAUGUCAGGCUGAAUUAAACAAACGUUGCAAACAGGCAUGUAUACACAGACACAUGCACACAGUGUAUUUUAUCUUUUUUGUCGUGUUUGUCUUGAAUCAGUUUUAAUCCAUUUGUUUGUUUAGUUUUUCAAACACAAUUUAAAACCCUAAACAAAUCAGGAGCUGCAGAUUAGCAUCAGAUUGAUGCUUUUUUUUAUCACAUCUGCAUUACUUAUUCAUCUUUAACAAUGCUGUUGGUCUGUGUUAUGUUCAAUAAGUUUGUGAUUUUAAGAUUAUGUGGUGAAACAUGAACAGCAGUGUCUUCUCCUCUUCAGAGGUACUCUUGCUUUCAGGUUUUGAUUUUUUCAAACUUUCAAUUCGCUGCACUUGACAGCAGAUCUUUUGGUGAAUGGGGCAGAUGUGAUUCAUGAUUCCCACCUCUUUGUUUUGGCUUGGGUGCAUGUGAAGUGAGUAUCACCGCAAAGCCAUGCUACAGGGACGGCUGAAGCUGUGCUGGGCACGCUGACCGAAAGAAAAAUGUUUGGAAAUAGGUGGAGCGAGCCCUAAACUUCACACUUUGGUCUUAUCUUGUUUCUGUAGAGUGUCUACCAUUGUUGUCCAUUUGAAUUUAUCGAGAGUCUGCGUGACAUAAAUGAUGGCUGAAAUGGCCAGCACAGAUGAAAGGUUAAAGUAUUUAAAAUGAUAAGUUUGACGUAGAUUUCAGUGGUGAAAGAAAGCAAAUAAGACUUAGCUAGAACUUAGCUAGGUAAUGAAAGUAGUCAAGCUUAAUGUAGCAACUCCAGUUUAAACAGCUAGCUUAAAGUAAGAUAAAAACAGCUGAAAGUAGAAUAAUGUCAAAAUACAGAGCUAAAAUCAGUGGAUUAACUGUUGUGUUAAAGUAUUAAAAAGCAGCUGGCUAGAUAAAUGUAAAAAUACAGAGCACAGCAUAAACACAUGUACAGAAAUAAGCUAACAUCAAUAGACUGAAAUAUUAGCAAAUGGCAGCUAAUACAAAAAUAUUUAAAGCUCCAGUGAGGAGGAGCUCACAGGAACUUUAAAUAGGUGUGAGGGGGUAGGUCUGACACCACCCAGUUUUUAGAAUUACCACAUUAAAUAUUCACAAUAAAUAAUAUAUUUGACUGUAAAGAGUCAGCAGGAUAAGAUUUUUGUCAGAAGAUAAUUUUUGAAUGCGUAGAGGACAAUAUAAGCAAAGACUGCUUUGUCCACUGGGGGCACCAAAAUUUUCACAAAACUUAAAUUUCGGUAUAGGAGCUUUAAAGUGAAAGUAAAUAAUCAAACUGACAGUUUCAGGUAUAAGAAAAUAAGUUCAAAUAAUGACCAAACAAUAUUUUUAAACAAUUUGGAUUAAUGGAAAAAAAAACUCAGAAAAAGUGACCGAUGGGACAGACAGAAGUAGACCCAUAUGCAAACUUGUUCGUAGCACCAAACACUAAACAUGAAAUAGUAUGAAGACAGGUUUUAAAUGAUUGAGAAUGUAAAGACACUAGAACAAUAGUUAUCAGUUUACAAUCUGUAUUCUAGCAUAAAAAACGAUAGAUGGCACAUUUAAACGUGCGCAUAAAAACCAAAGAUUUGUCAGAAGGACUAACUUCUGAGGCUGUGAAGAAGCACAUAAAUAAUAAAUUAAAAACACCUGAGACAGGCUCCAAAUGUGUGUUUGCCCAAGGGAGCUUGUUUUAGAAUUAUUUUGAAGACUUCCCAUCCAGCAGCGUCCAAAAUUCAACAGGCUGCAUCCACUCUGACAUCAAACCCAUCUAGAUUACAGUCCUGCAGCCAAGCCUUCAACAAACAAAGGAAAUGGCACAUUACACCAUCCCUCUCUCUGAAAAAGUUGCACAAGACAGAAAAAAACCCUCUACAGUUAUUUAACAAAUACAAGUUUAUUUGAAGUACAGACAAGGAAAAAUGAAGGGCUUUUUUUUUCCAGAGCUUGCACUCCAUAUGACAGCAAUUUGGGGGUAUUGUGUAUUUUGGCCUGAGCAUGUGGUCCAUGAUAGAUGACAGGAGAGAAAAUCACGAGCCGCUGGCUUCAGCACAGACAUGCAAAUUGCUUUCAGCUGAUUGCAGUAUUCUGCUUGAUAUUUAUCAAGUGGAUUACAGUAUGCCUCUUUAAGCUGGAGGAAGCAGCUGAUCAAUUCCUCUGAAGGAAGGAAGAAAAGACCUGAUGUGUUUUUCCUCUGCUAGGUGAAAAAAGAGACAUUUCUUAGGGCCAGUGUGCUGUUAGAUAUUGAAAUGUGAACUGAUACUUAUCUUGCUUCACCUCACCAAAAAAAAAGACAAUCUGAUGUUUGUGGAAUAUCCCAAACCCACCUACUCAUUUUGGUUUAGGAUGAAACUGAGUGAUCAUCCUAAAUUCAUCCUAAAGUGUACGAGUGUUUGCACUUUAUGCUGCAAUUCCUCAAUUCGUUGUGGAAUUGCAUUGUGUACCCUAUACAGUGAUGCCAAAACCACAUGUUUCAAAUAUAAAAUGAGAUUUAUUGUUUGAAGGUCAUUAUUUUUGGCCUCUACGUGCCUUUAUUGAGACUGUGAACACAGUUGAAAACAGGGAGGGUAGGAGGAGUUUUUUUAAACACAUAACCCUCAAACAAGAAAGGAUUUUUUUGAGCUGUAUAUUUUGUACCACAGAGGUAUCAGGCAGUCUUGAUGAGAUGAUCAGACAAAUAGGGCAAGUGUCACCCUGUGUCGCCCACUACCUUCCACCGUGAUGAACAGAGACUGUGCUGUAGGUCUUGGCAUGAUAUGUAUGCUUAGCAAGGUUCAUCCAUGCAGGCCGAACACAUAGUAGGUGCUGAUUUGUUCAAAGUGUCUAAGGGAUAGUGUAGAGACCGUUUUACACCCGUGAAACAUUAGAGAUAAGAGACUUUAUCAAAGUCAAACAGCGGCCCAGAGACCAGCAGCUUUUAGAAAAUAUCCACACUAUAAAAGUUUUUAUUUGAAUUUUAUUUGAGUAGUAUACUUAAAAAAUUAUGUCCUAAAGUACAUUUUAUUGACUUUGUUGGUUUCCAAAUGGAAGCACUAGUGAGAAUUGCUUCACAUCAUUAAUCAGAGUGUAAAAUAGAUUUGUUGUGUAAAAGCGGAAUUAGAAACAGGGGAUCCAAGUAGUUGCCUUUAACUACUGAAAUGCUAUGAUUAAUUGGGAUUAAAAAGAUUAAUUGGCAGCCCUAAAAAACACAUAAAUCUUACUAAAUACAUUUGUCAGCACUUCAUAUGUUGUCUGUGCAUUUUUUGCUACUUAAAUAAAAGUUUUUAAUGAUUCACUAACCAUCAAAAUCCAUCUUUAUCAACAUUUAACUCGGUGUCCCCACUUUAAAAGCGUUAUGUGACUCAAUCUUGCCCUAGAUCAGGAUCCAGGUCUGUACUUUGGCUCCAGAUACAUUUGAAGACUCAGAUUAUGUUCUCUUAAUCAGGUAACAAGCUCCAGGAGGAAAAUUACCUCCUUCCGACCACUCGCACUCACCUGCAGUGACCCAGAGCAAUCAGAGGUGAAGGGGGCUCCUAAUCACGGAAAACCCUGAAGGUCAGUGCAUGCACACCCUAUCCUGGCCCACCCAGCCACUCUCUAAAGGCCAAAGCGGAGUUCAAGUGUUUAAACUGUCAUAUCAAAUAGGCUCGACAUGGAGAUUACUGUGCAGGAAGCUUUGUGUGUUUAGUUUGAUGCCGACUGCAAUAUCCUGCUGCUCCGUUGAUCCCAGCAGCUCUGGGUGGAAAGCAAUUGAGUUGAGCUGUGUCAAGUAGAGGUGGAUGAUGCCAGGCAUGCUCACACUCAGGUCAGCAAGGAAAAGUGUGGAAGGUGGGUCACGAAACAAAGGGGUGCUUUAGCAAUAGAUCUAUAACCUGGAGCAGAACCAGAGCUCUCUCACUGUUUGUUUUGAUAAGGGAAGCUCGGGUCGUUCAGCAGGACUGUGUAGGGGGGAAACAGACAGAAACAUCAGUGGCACAAUACAAAUUUAUAAAUCCUGAGACAACUGAUGAUGGCUAUGCUUGUGUUUAUGUUACAUGCACUUUUACCGCUCCAGGCUUGGAGCAUAUGCUCUAUAAAUGUUGUAUGUGUAAAAAAAAAAAAGCGGCUCUAUUAUAGUGAGGAGACUUUGUGUUUUUCUAUGGUGAACUGUGCCAGCCCUCUGACAGCUGAUGAAUGAGCUAAAACUUGGUCCACCCUCAGAUCUCUGAUCAUUUGCAGCAUGCAGAGCCCUGCAAAAGCCUAAAGACUGUGAGACCUGAACUCUUCCAGUGAGACAUUAAGUAGGCCUAUUGACUAAUAAUUUGUUGAAGGUGAGCAAAUUAACCCCAGUCAGCGCAAAACAGGCUCCAAUCCAAAGAUUAGGAAGGGUGUUUUUUACAUCCUGGAAAAUAAAAACAAGCAUAAGAUUUUCAUCUGCAGGCUGUGACAAAGUGGCACAACUCAAAUCUAUAUUAAAAGCUGUAGUUGUACUGUACAAAUAUGAAUAUUUUACUAUAAAAUUUGAGCAAAACAAGCAAGAAGAGCAAAAAUGCAGAGCCACCUCACUGCUUUGGUCCUGAAUAAAAUACAAUAGAAAGCACAUAUGUGAAGUUUGACAACGGGUGCAGUGUGCAGUAUGUGUUCGCAGGUUGACUUAAAGUGCCCCAUUCAGAUCAUGGACUGACUUCUCAUGAUGAUAGGUCAGUUAAAGCUCCUUUGAGGAGUUUGUGAUGUUUGAGAAAUAAACUAAAAUUCAAAUUAAUUUGUUUUCGUGUUAUCCAAAACAAACAAGACCAUCAAUGAGAAGACCAAUGAUUUUUAUUUCACCUUUUUAAAUCCUGAAACUGGUGCAAGGGGGUAGGAGUUAGCUGAGCCGCUGAAGAAACAGACCUGUUUUUAAGAUAAGAUAGGAUAAGAUAAGAAUAACUUUAGUAAUCCCCAAAGGCAAAUUCUGUUGUCUGUUGUCUCACAUAAUAUGUCUCUAAAAGGUAUCUACUAUUUACACACGAGUUAUAAAGUCUGAUGGCUGUUGGUACAAAAGAUCUUUUCAAUCUUUCUGUCCUGCAGCGAAGAGAGAGGAGCCGUCCACCACCUUUGGUCCAUCAAGGUGUUGUGAAGUGGG